CACGUAGGGCGCAAGCGUUGUCCGGAAUUAUUGGGCGUAAAGAGCUCGUAGGCGGUCUGUUACGUCUGCUGUGAAAACCCAGGGCUUAACCCUGGGCUUGCAGUGGAUACGGGCAGACUAGAGGCAGGUAGGGGAGAAUGGAAUUCCCGGUGUAGCGGUGAAAUGCGCAGAUAUCGGGAGGAACACCGGUGGCGAAGGCGGUUCUCUGGACAGUUCCUGACGCUGAGGCACGAAGGUCAGGGGAGCAAACGGG
rnacentral:rRNA from 1 species